rnacentral:tRNA from 1 species
CGCGAAUCGUCGGGCUGCAAGUCAUUUACUGGAGUCGAGUUAUGCGAAUUGCCCUGCGGAAUCAUAAUCCGCGUGUCGGGGGUUCGAGUCCCUCCUCCGCUA